rnacentral:lncRNA from 1 species
GUGAAAGACCUAUGAAAGAAAAUGCUAUACACCUCCAGAGGAAAAAAAAAACUGAUAAAUAGAAGUAUACAUAGUAAUGGCUUUAUAUAGAUUUACAAAUCUGUGUCAAGUGGUAGUCUUUUCUAAUGUAGAGGAAGGAGACAGUAAAAAUUAUAUUUAAAGUUACAGAGCUGAAAUCAACAGGUCUUGGUUAUUGCUACAGAUCAGAUAUAAGAAGUGAGAGAGAAUGAGGAAUCCAAAAUGAUUCUGAACCUGAAGAACUGGGAGGAUUAUAGAGAAAGUGGAGGGAGAUGAAGUUCACAGGGAUAGAUGAGUUCUGUUUUGGACAUGUUGAGUUUAAGAUAUCUACUGAACUUCCAGUUUAAGAUAUUUGAAAGGCAAUUGGAAAUAGGAGACUGGAAGUCAGAGAUAGGUUAAUGCUAGAGAAUCAUCAGCAUAUUAAUUAAAUCCAUAGAAGUUUGUGAGAUCACCAAGUAAAGCAGAGAAGAGGAAAAUCCCAAAUAGAAACCUCACUCAGAAGCAUUUGCUCACAAGCAAAUGAACCAACAUAAAGGUUCAUAAAGACAAUCAAGAAUAAGUAAAAAUUCAAAGAGAAGUCAAAAUACUAUGAAUAAGUAUUAUGCCAAGGAUGAAAAUGAACCAGGAUUCCUUGAUCAAAAAGAGAAUUUUGCAGAUAAAAAACAUUAACAAGCAACUACAAAAUAGUACAGAAUUAAAUCUGAUAACAUCUCUAAACAGAAUAGAGGAAAAAGUCAAAUACAAAACCUAAAUGACAUGAUGGACACAUUCUCCAAGAAAUAGAGAAAAGAACAAAUCUGGAAUUUUUAUUCAGAAGUGGAAGAAAAUUUGCCAGGAGAAAAGAAAAAGGCAGUAACAUUAAAAGAACAGAUUACAAAAACUAUUGCUGAGUUAUGGGACCCUCCUGAGAAGGGAGUACCAAGGCCACCUCAAACUUUGGUGCACAAUAAGUUUUCUGCCAUGUUGCAGAAACGCCCUUGUUGAGCAAGGAGCAAUAAUUUGUGAUCAUGGGAACAGGUGUCCAAGGGUCAUAGCUAGUUGCUCAUUGAGCAGGGAUGCCUUGACAGGGCCUCUUGCCUGUGAGCAAGCUGCUGAAUUGCUGGAUUGGCUCUCCUCCCAUUGGCAUGCAUACACAAAGACCAUGAGCUGCUUCUCUGAAUGGUGAUUAGGGAUUGCCUACUGUUCA